GGUGGCUCUUCAGGAGAGGUCAGGAUGGAUGGAGGGUGAUGGAUGGUUGUUAUUGAACUGGUGCGCAGUGCGAGGAGCAGUGCUGAGACAACUCCCUUCCCUACGCUUGCUAAUGGAUAGGAGGGAAGAUCUGUCCUGCCUGUCAAAUGCGGUGUUGUCCAUUGCUUCCUGCAGCCUGGCUGACAGAGUGCUUUAUUUAUGCACCAUGACCCAUGCAGGGAUGGUCAGCCCAUCGCUCACUCCAGCAGCUCAAGCAAGAGUUUAUUUCAAUGCAGUAGUGAUGGCAUUCAGCCGGAGGUCUCCAGCACUGAGCUCCCUCUCCCAGCUGGAAGCACGCAUCUCGGAACAGCUCCUGAGCGGCUGUUCUCACAGCAUUCCUGCCCCGCUCUGACAUGGGAAGUGAAAGCUUCGGGAGAGAGAGCUUCCUGCCAGAGCCCAUGCAGUGCUGCACCCCAAAGGCUGCACCCCAUGGGGACCGCCCGCUGCAGAUGGGUGCUACAGACAGAGCCGGUCCGGAGCGCCUGCGGGAGGAUUUCAUCACUCACUCUUAGGCUGAGUGCAUAUUCGUCAUUUAUGGAUUUCUUUUUAAUGGAUGAAAUUCCUUCCCUUUAAAAGAGAAACCCCACGGCUGAUGGCACAAACAGCUGUGCUGAGAAAUAGCAUCAGAGCAAACCUUGUCGAUAUUCCUCCCCCGGCGUCCUGAGGAUCCUAACAGCUUUUGACUUGCAGAAUGACUCCGAAUGCAAAGGAAUUUCUAAGAGAAGGCAGGAAGCGUGCCCUGGCUGCUCCCAAACACCCUCUGCUGGGCCCCAUCUGCCAGCCCUUUGAAUACCCUUGGGUCAAGGCCACCCCUUGCUCCCUUCUCCUUGUGCCAUAGAAGCUCCUGUGUGUCAGGGAGUGCUGUCCCACUGCCACUUGGCAUUGACUCCAAGUUAAGUUUCCAACUGCUCCCCAGGGAAGCAGUUUCUCCAGCCCCCCAAAACAUUAUUGAGUUGGACGUGCGUUCUGCUCCUGGAUGGAUCCUGGCCACUGGAAUAUCCAUCUGAUAAUCAAAUAAAACAGCCCAGCCCCCCUGCA
rnacentral:lncRNA from 1 species